AUGGACUUGGCAUGCACAAGAGAAAGAAUGGAGGAAAAGGCGUGGUGGAAAAAAACCAUAGGCAGGAUUUACUAUGCACAACCAACGAGCGGUGAAAAAUACUACUUGAGAAUGCUGUUAAAUACCGUCAAAGGAUGCAGAUCAUAUGAAGAAAUUCGAACAGUUGAUGGGGUUGUACAUCCAACAUUCAAAUCCACAUGUUAUGCUCUUGGGCUACUUAAUGAUGACAAAGAGUGGGAUGACUGCAUCAAGGAAGCAUCCCAUUGGGCCUCCACUCCUCAAAUGCGCCAACUUUUCUGCACAAUACUUUUAUUUUGUGAGGUGAUGGAUCCCGCAAAGUUGUGGCAAACAAAUUGGGAGUUACUAUAUGAGGAUAUCCAACGUCGGCAAAGAAGAAUAUUCAAUUUUCAGGCCCUGGAACUCAACUCGGCACAAAUAAAGAGCCUGCUCCUGGCAGAGAUAGAACAACUAUUGACUAAAGGUAGUAAGUCCCUCAAAGAUUUUCCAGGAAUGCCACUACCAGAUAGUUCAAUUCUUCAAGAUCUAAAUAAUAGAUUAGUAAAUGAGGAACUAAACUAUGAUAAAGAUUCUUUAAGAAUAGAACACAUGAAGUUACUGCAUAAGCUAAAUCAGGAUCAGAGGAUGGCUUUUGACGUUAUAAUAGAAUCAGUCAACGACAGUCUUGGAAAAUUGAUUUUUGUUGACGGAUAUGGUGGAACUGGAAAGACAUUUCUGUGGAAAGCAGUCAUGACAAAAUUAAGAUCUGAAGGAAAAAUAGUUCUAGCAGUUGCUUCAAGUGGUAUAGCAGCACUUCUUUUACAGGGUGGAAGAACAGCUCAUUCAAGAUUUCACAUUCCCCUCAAGAUCACUAACGAGUCCACAUGCAACAUCAAGCAAGGAACAUUUCUUGCGGAGCUAAUAAAGAAAACGUCACUGAUAAUAUGGGAUGAAGCACCUAUGACACACAAGCACUGUUUUGAGGCACUAGAUAAGAGUUUGAGAGACAUACUUCGAUUCACAUAUGAGGACGCAGAGCAUAGACCAUUUGGAGGAAUGACAGUAGUCUUGGGAGGUGACUUCAGGCAAAUCCUACCAGUUAUACCAAAGGGGAAAAGGGAACAUAUCAUUUCUGCAUCAAUAAAGAGAUCCUACCUAUGGAAGAACUUUGAGGAGUACCGACUCAAAGAAAAUAUGCGUCUGAAUUCAUCCGAAGGUAGUCCAGAAGAGAAAGCAAAAACAGCUGAAUUCGCAAACUGGAUACUAAACAUAGGCGAUGGCACAACGUCAACAAUAGAUGAAGAGGAUUGGGUUAGCAUCCCAGAGGACCUUAUUUUACAUGAAGGGGAUGACCCGAAAGCAUCUAUUGUUAACACCACCUAUCCUGACUUACACAGAAAAUACACUGAUAGAACAUACCUUGAGGAAAGAGCGAUCUUGUGCCCAAGAAACGAGACUGUUGACCAGAUUAAUGCCUACAUCAUGAGUCAAAUCCCUGGAGAAGAGGUAACCUAUUUCAGUUCAGAUACAACAUGCAAGGCAAUGUCUACGGUGGAAGAUGAAGAUAUGUUGUACCCAACUGAGUUUCUGAAUAGUCUUACAUUUUCUGGAAUACCAGACCAUGAACUGAGCCUGAAAGUAGGAUUACCAAUAAUGCUUAUGAGGAACAUCAAUCAAAGUGCAAGACUUUGCAAUGGGACAAGACUAACAAUAACACAGCUAGGAAAGCGUUUCAUUGAAGGCCAGGUCAUAACAGGUCCUAACGUUGGUGACAAAGUUUACAUCCCACGAAUUAUCAUGUCACCAAGUGAUUCAAAAUGGCCUUUCAUUCUUAAAAGGAGACAAUACCCAAUAUCAGUGUGCUUUGCUAUGACUAUAAACAAAAGCCAGGGGCAAUCUCUCAAAAAAGUUCUACUCUACUUAGAAAGGCAAGUGUUCACACAUGGACAACUCUAUGUUGCAAUGUCAAGGGUGACCAGCAGAAAUGGAUUGAAGAUACUCAUCUCAGAUGAAAUGUCCAUCCGACAAGGUUGCAAAAAACAUUGUUUACAAGGAUAUAUUAUAGAUUUUGUUACAAGCAUUCUGAUAUGA
rnacentral:rRNA from 1 species